AUUGAACGCCGGCGGCAGGCCUAACACAUGCAAGUCGAGCGGAUGAAGGGAGCUUGCUCCUGGAUUCAGCGGCGGACGGGUGAGUAAUGCCUAGGAAUCUGCCUGGUAGUGGGGGAUAACGUCCGGAAACGGGCGCUAAUACCGCAUACGUCCUGAGGGAGAAAGUGGGGGAUCUUCGGACCUCACGCUAUCAGAUGAGCCUAGGUCGGAUUAGCUAGUUGGUGGGGUAAAGGCCUACCAAGGCGACGAUCCGUAACUGGUCUGAGAGGAUGAUCAGUCACACUGGAACUGAGACACGGUCCAGACUCCUACGGGAGGCAGCAGUGGGGAAUAUUGGACAAUGGGCGAAAGCCUGAUCCAGCCAUGCCGCGUGUGUGAAGAAGGUCUUCGGAAUGUAAAGCACUUUAAGUUGGGAGGAAGGGCAGUAAGUUAAUACCUUGCUGUUUUGACGUUACCAACAGAAUAAGCACCGGCUAACUUCGUG
rnacentral:rRNA from 1 species